rnacentral:rRNA from 1 species
ACGUAGGGUGCGAGCGUUAAUCGGAUUUACUGGGCGUAAAGCAUGCGCAGGCGGCGGUUCAAGUCAGGUGUGAAAUCCCCGAGCUUAACUUGGGAAUUGCGCUUGAAACUAGAUCGCUAGAGUACGGCAGAGGGGGGUAGAAUUCCACGUGUAGCAGUGAAAUGCGUAGAGAUGUGGAGGAACACCGAUGGCGAAGGCAGCCCCCUGGGCCUGUACUGACGCUCAUGCAUGAAAGCGUGGGGAGCAAACAGGAUUAGAUACCCUGGUAGUCCACGCCCUAAACUAUGUCAACUAGUUGUUGGAAGAGUCAAAUCUUUCAGUAACGUAGCUAACGCGCGAAGUUGACCGCCUGGGGAGUACGGUCGCAAGAUUA